rnacentral:tRNA from 1 species
GCGCCGUUAGCUCAACUGGUAGAGCAGCAGCCUUUUAAGCUGAUGGUUGGGGGUUCGAGUCCCUCACGGCGCA